AUUGAACGCUGGCGGCAUGCUUUACACAUGCAAGUCGAACGGUAACAGGCCUUCGGGUGCUGACGAGUGGCGAACGGGUGAGUAAUGCAUCGGAACGUACCCAGAGGUGGGGGAUAACGCAGCGAAAGCUGUGCUAAUACCGCAUGUGAUCUGAGGAUGAAAGCGGGGGACCGAGCAGCAAUGUUUGGCCUCGCGCCUUUGGAGCGGCCGAUGUCGGAUUAGCUAGUUGGUGGGGUAAAGGCCUACCAAGGCGACGAUCCGUAGCUGGUCUGAGAGGACGACCAGCCACACUGGGACUGAGACACGGCCCAGACUCCUACGGGAGGCAGCAGUGGGGAAUUUUGGACAAUGGGCGCAAGCCUGAUCCAGCAAUGCCGCGUGCGGGAAGAAGGCCUUCGGGUUGUAAACCGCUUUUGGCAGGAACGAAACGGUGUCCGCUAAUACCGGGCGCUAAUGACGGUACCUGAAGAAUAAGCACCGGCUAACUACGUG
rnacentral:rRNA from 1 species